rnacentral:siRNA from 1 species
GAGCAAAAUGGCUAACAACCGA